rnacentral:lncRNA from 1 species
AUGGAACGCUGGGUUUUAGAGGGCGAUAGCUACUCGUUUCUUCGCAGUGCUCCACACACGUUCAACCUGCAGAGUCAUGAAGGGCCAAAUCGUGUGGAGAUCUUUGACAUCACUUCAAUCCCCAGCCAUCAUAAUGCCAUAUCUGAAACAACCAGCCUGUGUGACAUUUUUGGGGGUGACGGCGAGUCUCCGUCACUUUCCAGUAGCCCAGCUUCUGCCACAUUUAUCAGGAGGGAAGUGGAUCAGUCUUUUCCAGUAGAUGAUGCCAAUGACUCUUUAGGAUCUUACCAUACUGCCAAUGGAUCUGACUUAAGCAACAACUCUGAAGUCACUUACAACACACCUUCUCCAGAAAAUACACCAGAUUUUUCCACAUCUGAGACCAGGGGAUCACGUUCACCACCAACUAAAUCACCCAUCUUGUCUGAUUCCAAAAAUGGACUUAACCAACUAGACUGCACACCACCUGCAUCCAAAGUCAAUAGUAAUGACCUUUCACAUACAGAUAACUGGGAAGAAUCCCAAGUGUCAGUAAUCACUGCCCCAGUGAAUGAAAUGGCCAUCACAAAUGCAUCUGAACCACAGUAUGUGAAUUCAACACCAGCUACCACCCUAAUUGAUCCGGCAAAGAAACCUUUUAAUCCUACAUCCUGCUCUUCAGAAGAAAAAGAACCUGCUGUUUUUGAGCAAGAAGGAAUUAUUAAAACACCUCAACAUAUAAGCACAAGCCCAGUUUUAGAUAAACAAAUAUUUGAGUCAAACUGUGAAUCUUUGGCAGUAUCUCCACUUGAGCAAAAUGUUGUGAUGUCUUCUGAGGACAAAGAGAGCAUGAUCUAUUGUAGUCCACGAGAGCAAAACAUUCUUUCUGUGCAAGGGACGAUGAACAGUGGCUCUGCAUCAGAACUGUCAAACCCUUCUACAACAGAUUGCAGCCUUAUGCAGGAAAUGUCUACUUCACCUUCAAACCGAGAUAUUAACUUUCUACCCAUAUCCAGUGUCAUGCCAGAACCCAGAUUGACCUCCACCUCCCCUGUAAUCAGGGAAACUACCUCCACACGUAGAUCUUCACCUGAGCUGCUGAAUUUGUGUCCAACUCAAGUUAGGAACACAUCGGAGACUCCAGACUUGGAGGACACUUAUGGUGCUAUUUUAUCUGUAUCUACACUGCAUACCAGUGAUAAUGUGGAAAUAAAUUCCCUAACUGUGUCUGACAUUUCUACUGAAACAAGAGGACUGGUAUAUUCAUCCACAGAUGGAAGAGAAAAGCUGGAAUCACCUGAAUUCAAUGAAACCUGCUCUUCUCCUGAUCACUCGGCACCUACUCACUCACAAGAACCAGUACUGAUUCACUCCCCUGUAGGUUACACCAUCAGUCCAUCACCUACAUAUGAGAAAAUAUGUUCUUCAGUUGAACCUGUAGACUCACCAUCCUCCCCUGUAUCACCUGAGAUCAAUGAAACCUGCUCUUCUCCUCAUCACUCAGCAUCUGCUCACUCACCAGAACAAGUAAUGAUUCACUCCCCUGUGGGUUACACCAUCAGCCCAUCACCUACAAAUGAGAGAAUAGUUUCUUCGACUGAACCUGAAGACUCACCAUCCUUCCCUGUAGUCACAAGGAUUGAAUACAGGGAUAUUUGCUCUUCUCCCGAUCACUCAGAACCAGUAAUCAUUCACUCGUCUCCAUGUUACAACAUCAGUCCAUCACCUACAAAUGAGAGACGGGUUUAUUCAACUGAACCUGAUGCCUCAACAUCUUCCCCCUGUGGUCACAGUGAUAUGCACUCCUCUUCUGAUCACUCCAUUCCAGCUCACUCACCAGAACCUGAAAUAAUUCACUCACCGAUGGGUUAUACCAUCAGCCCAUCACCUACAAAUAAGAGAAUGUUUUUUUCAGUGCAACCUAAUGACCUACCAUCCUCUCCUGCCAUCACAGGAACUGAUUACACAGCAACACCAACAUGCAGUAGAGAUUCCACACCUGCGUUUAGGAGCAUUACCUCCACUCCAAACAGCAGAGAAAAUGACCUUACACCAGAGCCCAAUUCCCCAGCCACUUCACUGGAAUUGAGAUCAGUUACCUGCUCACCUGAAAUCAAAACAAUAUCAUAUAGUGUUCUGCCACAAAAUACAAAAUCCCCAGGCAUCACAUAUAAUGUUAUACCAACCGAAGAUUUAGCGCAAUCACCUGCAGUAGAAAAAAAUGUCUGUGGCAACUCUUCUGAAACUUCCAGCUAUCUUUUUGGAAAUGACACCUCUGUCUUACCUAGCUCAAGGAACUUUUUGUCAACACCAGAGAGUAGAUCGAGGCCCUCAUCAGCUACAUCAGACCAUACCAAAUACACAACACUAUCCUCUGAUCUCGAACCUGAGCCUUCCAUCACUAUUGGAAAUGCAGAAAAUCAGAGUUUAUACAUAAUCUGUGAUGAAGUUAGUCAUCCUUUCUCUAACCCAAUAGACCGUUUUGAUGACCAUGCUGACACAAAGACCCUCAAAAGCCUUGCAUUUGUCCCAGAUGAAUGUAAAGGCAGUGGACCACCAGUUCAGAUACUACAAGAUUCAACCUCUAACACCUCAGAUUCUGGAUCGUCCACAAUAAAAAUUGAGAAAAGUCAAGAAAUUGUCACUGACAACACAACUGAUUUAACAUUCUGUGGAACACCAACCUCCCCGUGUCCAUGGGAUGCAUCUCUACCGAAGCCAGUGGCAUCUGUAGAGAAGAAACAAUGCCUUGUUGAGGUUUUUGAUAGGAACAAGGGAACAGAAAUGUUGAAAAAUUAUUCCCCAAGUAGUGACAAGAGGCUUAGUCAAGUGCCUGUAGCAUUAAGAGAAAGCGCAGGGGUUAUCAGUAGGGACAAUGGUGGUGAAUUUGACAGGCAGCCAUGCAGGGAAAAAGAGGAAAGUGGAAAGAAGGAGGGAGAGGGGGAGGAGACUAUGGGAGAGAGUAGUUACAGAGGGGAACAGGUUGAGCUGUCAUUCAGUGCCAGGAAUAGAAAAGGGCCUGCAGGCCACAGCCCAGCUCUCUCAAGUCGAGACCCAAAGUCGGGAAUUCCAGCUCGCUGUUAUUUUGAGUCGCACCCAACAACUUUGCAGCAACAGAGUCAGCUCAGAGCUCAGGGCUCACAACAAGAGAACAAGGGUGGUGCCAGGAGGCUCCAGUCAGCGGCCCAGGGUAAAUACAGCAGUGCAGGCUUUCUUCUUCCUGAAUGUACUGGUGAGACCUCCAGCAUGGGAAGUGAAUUUGAUGAAGCAGACAAUGAAGUAAAGUGGUUUACAGAUCUGGCCUUCAGAAGCCUAUCUAGUCCUCAGGUGGAUUAUUUGGAUGUGUACAAUUCAAGCCACAGGUCCUCUACAAAUGUUUCACAGCCAUCGACUGUAGACAGCCCUGGUGCUAUUGCAUGGAUGACCUACGCAGAUUUACGUGGCUCAGCGUUACAUGAAAAUGAUGGUUCGUCUUUUUUACCCCGUGACAGCCUGGACCCAAACAAACGCUUUGAAAUGGGAAGUUUUGAGUGUGUGGAUAUUGCAUUAGAGAGCAAGGAAGAGUCCAGUAGAGGAAAGAGGACAGUACCUAAAAGGCAGAUCCAGCUGUUAAGGAGGAACACAGAUGAAUCAAAACAUAAAGGAAACAAUGAAAAUAUUUUCAAUUCACCCUCUACAUAUAGACGCUCAAAAGACGCACUUGUUCGUCAACAUAGCACACCAGCUUUUGUGCAACAGGAAGUUUUCAAGGAGGUGCCAGAUUCACCACAAAAUGGCAGGAAAAAGACCUUGCAGAAGUCUGUGUCUUUAGAUGAUGGCUCCCCUAAGACACAAAUGGCAUCUUGCAUUAUCAAGAGUGUAUUGUCAAAGAAAAUGCAGGAUGUUCAGAAAGAGACACCAAAAAGUACAGACCCAAGUCCUUCUGGAGAUAAAAAACAUCCUGAUGUCAGCUCCAGCUCUUUUGAUGGUGUACCAAGUACCAUGGAGAAACAUAGUUUAAGCUCUAGCCAGCAUUCUGAAUGUACUCUUUCAUCUGAAGAUUUUGCUGUCGGAGAGGAGAGAAUUUCACAUUGUCAGCCGAAGAAGUGUGCUCCAAAAGUUCCUCCAAAGCCAUUCUUAAGACCUGCGUUCUUUAACAACGGGGAAGCUCAGGUUGCUGGCAAAAUUGCAAGGGAAGAAACCAAGCCUAUAGUGGCCCCUCCACAAGUUGAUGACAAAAUACAAAACAGCAAGAGUGAUAGGAAAGAGGGAGGAGGUAGCAACCUUGAAGAGAAGUACAAAAGUGACUCCGCAAAUGCCAGUAUCAGUAACACAAGUCCUGUUGUUGUUACACCAGCAAUAAGCAUGCAGAACAGAAUGACAACCAGAGACAUAAGAAAGCGCCAGAUGACACCGGAAAACCAGGAACAACUGGCUGGAAAGAGUGUAUUUAUGUCAAAAACCCCAGAGAUAACUUUGAAACCUUCUAUCAAAGGAAAAAAGACGACAUCUCUGAAAGUGUCUUUGUCCCCUGACUUGGAACAGUCCAGAGAAAUAUCUGAAUCUCAGUCAAUGGAGAAAGCUGCAGAAGAUUUAAGCACGAAAUCUACUAAAGGUUUAGAGACAGAAGACGAUGAUGACAGCAACAAAAAAUCUGUUACACAUAGAGUUAGGGAUGUGAGGAAGUUAGUGAAAAACACAUACAACCUGUCUUUCAAAGCAUCAAAUUCAACAUCAUCUGCAGAAGAGACAGUGAUUCAAGGGAAAAGAGAGAAGCCGCCGCAAACUCCUCCAGCCUUGCACAUUGAAUGUAAAGCCAUCAGUUGGAAGGACAAACAAACAUCAGGCAGCAAAGCAAUCCACUGUCAUGAUGAAAAACUGCCUGUUGACAUAUCAAAAAUAUCACAACCAUGGGUGUGCGCAGAGACAAAAAGAGAUGCUGACAUCACUGAAAUAAUAUCCAAAGGCUCUUCGCCAAAGACUGAGUCAAAACAAAAAGCACCAUAUUCUCACUCUACAAUCACAGAUGGAUUAUGUGAAUCAGAAAGUAUCAAUAAAAUAUCCUACAUUCACUGUGAUCAGAGUUCUAAGAUGCCCCCUAGACCCCCAAGUAAGGAGCGAGAAGUUUCUGCGUUGGUGGUUGUACCGGAUUGCACAUCCAAGACAAAGACUGUUUCCCCUACAAUCCUUGACUCUACUCAAAUGACAGCUGCAAGCAGCAGCCACUCUGUAUCCAUGCUACUGAAAGAAAAAGGGAUGCAGGCUGACAUUGGAGUGUGUGAUGUUCUCACUGAAGGUGCAAGUGCUACAGCUAAACAUGUCAACAGGCUUGAGGUACCUGUACAGGCGUGUUUAUCAGAAAGCAUUUCAAGUGAAGUACAAGUAAAGGCAGAAAAUACAUCAUUGCCUUGCAAUCCAACAGCUUUUGUCAACAAUUUGUCAAGAACAUCUCAACCAAGUGAGAGUCCCAAGGGAACACUGACAGAAGAACCUUCAACAAAGGAACAAGAAAAAAAGAAAACUGCCACCACAACUAUGACACAAAUUCCAACUUAUUUAGCAACAUCUGGCAAGCCAGAGGUGAGGUCUUUUUCAGGCAGUACAAAAAAUAAUGCCACACCAGUGAAUGCAUCAAAAGAGAUUGAGUUACCCAUACAAGUGAGAUCAAUAUCCACUGAUAGACUAAAGCCAUUUGUACCACCAAAACCUAGCUAUAAACAGUCAUUUGCAGAAAUUAAGUCAGUGUCAAGUGACCCAUCAAAAGCAGAUACUCAAGCAUUGUCUGUUAUUAAACACCCAACAAUAUUAAGUAGUGAAUCAAAGAAAAAUGAAACCCCAUCAACAGUGACACACAAGGAUCAACCAAAUGAGACUUCAUCAAGAGAUACAAAAAGACUGGCUGUAUCAGCUGUAUCAAGCUCCAAACCACCAUCCAUCCCAGUCACAACAACUCCAAGUGUUGUGCAAAAAUCCACCACAAAGACACUGGCCAGUCUGGAUCAACAGCAAUCUUCUGCUUUCUUGCAAUCAACCAGCACUUGCCAGCAGCAGAUCCCAUCAUUCAGUCAAGACCAGUCAAUGCUAGAUAGUUCCUUUGCUUCUAACUCAUCAGGACCACAAGCCCUUAACCACACACCAUCUGUGACAAGAGCAUCAUCUAAUAAUCGUUUUCACACAGAUGACUAUCUUUUCUACGCUUUAGAUGAUCCUCCUAGCUAUGAUGAGCGGGAGAGUUUCAGCCCACUACGGCUCUCAGACUUACCCCCACAUAGGUCAUGCAGGUAUCAUCCAACAACUAAGCAAUCUUCUUGCUCCUGCACGCCAAGUUCUCAUUCGCAUCAAGGACAUCCCAACAACAGUCCACAGCAAUGGGUACCAGCAGCCUCUCGGUCUCCAGGCCAAGUCCUUACCUGUCCUGCUGCUCCUCCGCAAGCUCAAGUACGUCCUCAUCAGUGCAGACCAGAUGGUCUACCAGUCUCCAAUACUACAAUACCUCAUGCCUCAGCUUUGAUUCAGCCUCUACACAACCCACAAGCUUGCCCUGUUUCAAACUCACAAUCCUAUGGUGAUGACUAUCCACCAGCUUCUGGGCUGCAUGCAGAUAGAUACUCAGCCAGUCACCCUUCACCUCAGGCAGCAGGUCCUGCUCCCUACCAUGAGUAUUCUCAUUCAGCUAACAUGUCUACUCUGGAUCCCAGGCCUCAGUUGUUUAAUCCUCAAGAUUUGCCACCAUCUUUUGGCCAUGAUUAUGCAAAUGAAGGUCCAGGUGGAGCUGGUGUAUUGUAUCCAGAGAAUGCAAGUGGGCUCAGCUGUGGCCAAGGUCCUCGUCGUGUCCUUCUUGAUCCUGAGACUGGCAAAUACUUCUACAUUGAGGUACCAAUGCAACCACUCAGAAAAAUGCUGUUUGAUCCUGAAUUAGGCCAGUAUGUAGAAGUUCUCAUACCACAUCAGGCAAUGUCCCAUUCAGGGCUAUAUCCACCAGCAGCACCGCCCUACUCCUCUUUGCACAGUCCUGGGUUGUAUGCACCACAGUCCUGGCACCUGCCUUAUGCAGUGCCAUCUUACCCAGCAAUCUCAGGUACUGCCCCGCAAGUUCGCCAUCCGGAGCCACCUCCUGUGCCCACCACACUUCACCAGACUUCCUUAAGGUAUGGAAGCCCUGCAAGCCAGAUGCCAAAAAAUGAACCAAAAGGCCUGUCAUCACUGGAUCAAAGCUAUCUAGAGAGCAUGUAUUACAUCCCCACUGGGCUGAAUGCAAGCCCAAAUGCAACCCCUUCAGAAUGCUACCACAAGCCAUCAAGCAUGCCUCCUUCAGGGGGACGAAGAGCAUGA